rnacentral:rRNA from 1 species
GAUGAACGCUGACAGAAUGCUUAACACAUGCAAGUCAACUUGAACUUCGGUUUGGGUGGCGGACGGGUGAGUAACGCGUAAAGAACUUGCCUCACAGAUAGGGACAACAUUUGGAAACGAAUGCUAAUACCUGAUAUUAUGAUUUUAGGGCAUCCUAGGAUUAUGAAAGCUAUAUGCGCUGUGAGAGAGCUUUGCGUCCCAUUAGCUAGUUGGAGAGGUAACGGCUCACCAAGGCGAUGAUGGGUAGCCGGCCUGAGAGGGGGAUCGGCCACAAGGGGACUGAGACACGGCCAUUACUCCUACGGGAGGCAGCAGUGGGGAAUAUUGGACAAUGGACCAAGAGUCUGAUCCAGCAAUUCUGUGUGCACGAUGAAGUCUUUCGGAAUGUAAAGUGCUUUCAGUUGGGAAGAAAAAAAUGACGGUACCAACAGAAGAAGUGACGGCUAAAUACGUG